UAAAUCAGUAGAGGCGCGCUGCCUAUCAGUAACCGAGCAGAGGGUGAUACCGAUGAAGCCGGGGAAAGGAGUCAGCGCCGAAGUGACUGAGUCAUCAAACUCAGCCGCUGGGGCUGCGUCGAACAGGCGCAGCACUGCCAUAGUUUUUCCUAUGGAGCGCUACCUAAGGG
rnacentral:ncRNA from 1 species